rnacentral:rRNA from 2 species
AGACCCGAAACCCGGUGAUCUAGCCAUGGGCAGGUUGAAGGUUGGGUAACACUAACUGGAGGACCGAACCGACUAAUGUUGAAAAAUUAGCGGAUGACCUGUGGCUGGGGGUGAAAGGCCAAUCAAACCGGGAGAUAGCUGGUUCUCCCCGAAAGCUAUUUAGGUAGCGCCUCGUGAAUUCAUCUCCGGGGGUAGAGCACUGUUUCGGCUAGGGGGCCAUCCCGGCUUACCAACCCGAUGCAAACUGCGAAUACCGGAGAAUGUUAUCACGGGAGACACACGGCGGGUGCUAACGUCCGUCGUGAAGAGGGAAACAACCCAGACCGCCAGCUAAGGUCCCAAAGUCAUGGUUAAGUGGGAAACGAUGUGGGAAGGCCCAGACAGCCAGGAUGUUGGCUUAGAAGCAGCCAUCAUUUAAAGAAAGCGUAAUAGCUCACUGGUCGAGUCGGCCUGCGCGGAAGAUGUAACGGGGCUAAACCAUGCACCGAAGCUGCGGCAGCGAACGUAUCACCCAAGACAACUUUACGGAGUUGACGAUUGACGGAGCGAAGCGACGUCAAAGCGUUCAUUAAAGUCGAGUUGGCUUAGGGAUACGUUCGUUGGGUAGGGGAGCGUUCUGUAAGCCUGUGAAGGUGUGUCGUGAGGCAUGCUGGAGGUAUCAGAAGUGCGAAUGCUGACAUAAGUAACGAUAAAGCGGGUGAAAAGCCCGCUCGCCGGAAGACCAAGGGUUCCUGUCCAACGUUAAUCGGGGCAGGGUGAGUCGACCCCUAAGGCGAGGCCGAAAGGCGUAGUCGAUGGGAAACGGGUUAAUAUUCCCGUACUUGGUGUUACUGCGAAGGGGGGACGGAGAAGGCUAUGUUGGCCGGGCGACGGUUGUCCCGGUUUAAGCGUGUAGGUGUGUGUUCCAGGUAAAUCCGGUUCACUUUAACACUGAGGCGUGACGACGAGGCACUACGGUGCUGAAGCAACAAAUGCCCUGCUUCCAGGAAAAGCCUCUAAGCAUCAGGUAACAUCAAAUCGUACCCCAAACCGACACAGGUGGUCAGGUAGAGAAUACCAAGGCGCUUGAGAGAACUCGGGUGAAGGAACUAGGCAAAAUGGUGCCGUAACUUCGGGAGAAGGCACGCUGACACGUAGGUGAAGUGAUUUACUCAUGGAGCUGAAGUCAGUCGAAGAUACCAGCUGGCUGCAACUGUUUAUUAAAAACACAGCACUGUGCAAACACGAAAGUGGACGUAUACGGUGUGACGCCUGCCCGGUGCCGGAAGGUUAAUUGAUGGGGUCAGCGCAAGCGAAGCUCCUGAUCGAAGCCCCGGUAAACGGCGGCCGUAACUAUAACGGUCCUAAGGUAGCGAAAUUCCUUGUCGGGUAAGUUCCGACCUGCACGAAUGGCGUAAUGAUGGCCAGGCUGUCUCCACCCGAGACUCAGUGAAAUUGAACUCGCUGUGAAGAUGCAGUGUACCCGCGGCAAGACGGAAAGACCCCGUGAACCUUUACUAUAGCUUGACACUGAACAUUGAGCCUUGAUGUGUAGGAUAGGUGGGAGGCUUUGAAGUGUGGACGCCAGUCUGCAUGGAGCCGACCUUGAAAUACCACCCUUUAAUGUUUGAUGUUCUAACGUGGACCCGUAAUCCGGGUUGCGGACAGUGUCUGGUGGGUAGUUUGACUGGGGCGGUCUCCUCCUAAAGAGUAACGGAGGAGCACGAAGGUUGGCUAAUCCUGGUCGGACAUCAGGAGGUUAGUGCAAUGGCAUAAGCCAGCUUGACUGCGAGCGUGACGGCGCGAGCAGGUGCGAAAGCAGGUCAUAGUGAUCCGGUGGUUCUGAAUGGAAGGGCCAUCGCUCAACGGAUAAAAGGUACUCCGGGGAUAACAGGCUGAUACCGCCCAAGAGUUCAUAUCGACGGCGGUGUUUGGCACCUCGAUGUCGGCUCAUCACAUCCUGGGGCUGAAGUAGGUCCCAAGGGUAUGGCUGUUCGCCAUUUAAAGUGGUACGCGAGCUGGGUUUAGAACGUCGUGAGACAGUUCGGUCCCUAUCUGCCGUGGGCGCUGGAGAACUGAGGGGGGCUGCUCCUAGUACGAGAGGACCGGAGUGGACGCAUCACUGGUGUUCGGGUUGUCAUGCCAAUGGCACUGCCCGGUAGCUAAAUGCGGAAGAGAUAAGUGCUGAAAGCAUCUAAGCACGAAACUUGCCCCGAGAUGAGUUCUCCCUGAGACUUAGAGUCUCCUGAAGGAACGUUGAAGACGACGACG